UAGUUUUUGAUGAAGAGGAGUAGUAAUUAAAAGUAAAGUACAGAGAGUCGGUGAUGGUGGAAAUCCGAUGUCCAAUUUUAAUGAAGACACCUCGGAGAUAACAGGCUGAAGUUAAAGUAGGUCUGUUCGCUUAAAGCGUUAUAUUUACUUGAGUGAGGUAUGUGUUUAUAUAUCUAACUUAGGGUGGCAACACGGGAAUAAAACCUCUCGUCCCUUUA
rnacentral:ncRNA from 1 species